rnacentral:rRNA from 1 species
GCGGUGAAAUGCGUAGAUAUCAGGAGGAACGCCGGAGGCGAAAGCGAGUGACUGGCGCGUUCCUGACGCUGAGGUGCGAAAGCUAGGGGAGCAAACAGGAUUAGAUACCCUGGUAGUCCUAGCCGUAAACGAUGGACACUGAGUGAAGGAGGGCUUGCCCUUCUUUGCUGCAGCUAACGCGUUAAGUGUCCCGCCUGGGGAGUACGGCCGCAAGGUUAAAACUCAAAGGAAUUGACGG